GGGAGGCUUACACAUGCAGUCGAGCGAGCGUAGCAUACGUUCAGCGGCAGACGGGUGAGUAACGCGUGGGAACAUACCUUUUGGUUCGGAGCAACCCAGGGAAACUUGGGCUAAUACCCGGAUAAGCCCUUACGGGGAAAGAUUUAUCGGCGAAAGAUUGGCCGGUCUGAUUAGCUAGUUGGCGGGGUAAAGGCCCACCAAGGCGAUGAUCGGUAGCUGGUCUGAGAGGAUGAUCAGCACACUGGGACUGAGACACGGGCCAGAAUCCUACGGGAGGCAGCAGUGGGGAAUUUUGGACCAUGGGGGAAACCCUGAUCCAGCAUUCCGGUGAGUGAAGAAGGGCUUCGGGUUGUGAAAGUCUUUUGGCCGGAGCGAAACCGGGUACGGUGAACAUCCGUGACUACUGACGGUUACCCGG
rnacentral:rRNA from 1 species